GAUGAACGCUGGCGGCGUGCCUAAUACAUGCAAGUCGAGCGAACAGACGAGGAGCUUGCUCCUCUGACGUUAGCGGCGGACGGGUGAGUAACACGUGGAUAACCUACCUAUAAGACUGGGAUAACUUCGGGAAACCGGAGCUAAUACCGGAUAAUAUAUUGAACCGCAUGGUUCAAUAGUGAAAGACGGUUUUGCUGUCACUUAUAGAUGGAUCCGCGCCGCAUUAGCUAGUUGGUAAGGUAACGGCUUACCAAGGCAACGAUGCGUAGCCGACCUGAGAGGGUGAUCGGCCACACUGGAACUGAGACACGGCCCAGACUCCUACGGGAGGCAGCAGUAGGGAAUCUUCCGCAAUGGGCGAAAGCUUGACGGAGCAACGCCGCGUGAGUGAUGAAGGUCUUCAGAUCGUAAAACUCUGUUAUUAGGGAAGAACAAAUGUGUAAGUAACUAUGCACGUCUUGACGGUACCUAAUCAGAAAGCCACGGCUAACUACGUG
rnacentral:rRNA from 1 species